rfam:Myotis davidii contig18629, whole genome shotgun sequence.
GGUGGUUCUCAGGUGACGCACCCCAGAAUCGGGCUUCCUCCUCUCUGGUUCCAGGUGUGUCACCAGAGAAGUGCA